rnacentral:rRNA from 1 species
AAUCAACGCUGGCGGCGUGCCUCAGACAUGCAAGUCGAACGCGAAAGUCCCCUUCGGGGGAGUGAUUAGAGUGGCGCACGGGUGAGUAACACGUAGGUAAUCUACCUUCGAGUGGGGAAUAACUCAGGGAAACUUGAGCUAAUACUGCAUAAUGCAGCGGCACCACAUGGUGACAGUUGUUAAAGCAUUUAUGCGCUUGAAGAGGAGCCUGCGGCAGAUUAGCUAGUUGGUAAGGUAAUGGCUUACCAAGCUACGAUCUGUAACCGGCCUGAGAGGGCGGACGGUCACACUGACACUGAAUAACGGGUCAGACUCCUACGGGAGGCAGCAGUCGGG